AUCUCCAGAAUCUAGACCAAGGCCUGUUGUGGAAAGUAGAGAUCAAACCCCUCCAAAAAAGAAGCAGUGCAACUGUAAACACUCACACUGCUUAAAACUUGACGGUAACGAGCUCUUCAAACAGAGAAACAGAGGCACGAACUAUCAUGGGAAACUCUUGUAAAACUCUUAACUUGUGAGAGAUGUGCUGAGAAGCUUUACUACAAAAGAAGAAAGGAAGUGAAAGAUCAGAGAGUGAAUUAAGAAAAGAGGUGUGCCGAGUUGAUUGGUGAACAAGGAGGAGAAAGCAUCGAGCAAGGUGGAGGACACUUGUGCAUUGA